GGCAGUGGUUUUUUAUUUUUGAAACGGCGAAGAAACCUUCCUUNUUCUUGACAUCUUCAGAAGCCAGCGGAGACGCAGGGUGUGCCUUCGGGNACUGUAAGACAGGUGCUGCAUGGCUGUCGUCAGCUCGUGUUGUGAAAUGUUGGGUUAAGUCCCGCAACGAGCGCAACCCUUAUCCUUGUUUGCCAGCACUUCGGGUGGGAACUCCAGGGAGACUGCCGGUGAUAAACCGGAGGAAGGUGGGGACGACGUCAAGUCAUCAUGGCCCUUACGAGUAGGGCUACACACGUGCUACAAUGGCGCAUACAGAGGGCGGCCAACUUGCGAAAGUGAGCGAAUCCCAAAAAGUGCGUCGUAGUCCGGAUUGGAGUCUGCAACUCGACUCCAUGAAGUCGGAAUCGCUAGUAAUCGUGGAUCAGAAUGCCACGGUGAAUACGUUCCCGGGCCUUGUACACACCGCCCGCCACACCAUGGGAGUGGGCUGCAAAAGAAGUGGGUAGUUUAACCUUCGGGAGGACGCUCACCACUUUGUGGUUCAUGACUGGGGUGAAGUCGUAACAAGGUAACCG
rnacentral:rRNA from 1 species